CCCCUAGUAACUGCGAGUGAAGCGGGAAGAGCUCAAAUUUAAAAUCUGGCGUGCCUCUGGUCGUCCGAGUUGUAGUCUGGAGAAGCGUUUUCUGUGUUGGACCGUGUAUAAGUCUCUUGGAACGGGGCGUCAUAGAGGGUGAGAAUCCCGUCUUUGACACGGACUACCGACGCUUUGUGAUGCGCUCUCAAAGAGUCGAGUUGUUUGGGAAUGCAGCUCAAAAUGGGUGGUAAAUUCCAUCUAAAGCUAAAUAUAGGCGAGAGACCGAUAGCGAACAAGUACCGUGAGGGAAAGAUGAAAAGCACUUUGGAAAGAGAGUUAAACAGUACGUGAAAUUGCUGAAAGGGAAACGCUUGAAGUCAGUCAUGUCUGCCAGGACUCAGCCUCGCUUCUGCUUGGUGUACUUUCUGGUCGGAUGGGCCAGCAUCGAUUUUGACCGUUGGAGAAAGGCUUUGGGAAUGUGGCACCUUUGGGUGUGUUAUAGCCCUUUGUCGUAUGCAACGGUUGGGAUCGAGGACCGCAGCAUGCCUUUAUGGCCGGGGUUCGCCCACGUACGUGCUUAGGAUGUUGGCGUAAUGGCUUUAAGCGACCCGUCUUGAAACACGGACCAAGGAGUCUAACAUGCCUGCGAGUGUUUGGGUGGAAAACCCAUGCGCGUAAUGAAAGUGACAGCUGAGAUCCUCUCAUCAGGAGCAUCAGCGCCUGGACUCGAUCUACGGAGACGGUUCUACGGUAGAGCAUGUAUGUUGGGACCCGAAAGAUGGUGAACUAUGCCUGAAUAGGGUGAAGCAGAGGAAACUCUGGUGGAGGCUCGUAGCGAUUCUGACGUGCAAAUCGAUCGUCAAAUUUGGGUAUAGGGGCGAAAGACUAAUCGAACC
rnacentral:rRNA from 1 species